AUUGAACGCUGGCGGCAGGCCUAACACAUGCAAGUCGAGCGAGAGGGGGACGGGUGAGUAAUGUCUGGGAAAAUGCCUGAUGGAGGGGGAUAACAACUGGAAACGGUAGCUAAUACAGCAUACCAUCAGAUGUGCUCAGAUGGGAUUAGCUAGUAGGUGGGGGAACGGCUCACCUAGGCGACGAUCCCUAGCGGUUCUGAGAGGAUGACCAGCCACACUGGAACUGAGACACGGUCCAGACUCCUACGGGAGGCAGCAGUGGGGAAUAUUGCACAAUGGGCGCAAGCCUGAUGCAGCCAUGCCGCGUGUGUGAAGAAGGCCUUCGGGUUGUAAAGCACUUUCAGCGGGGAGGCGUUACCCGCAGAAGAAGCACCGGCUAACUCCGUGCCAGCAGCCGCGGUAAUAC
rnacentral:rRNA from 1 species